UACGAAGGGGGCUAGCGUUGCUCGGAUUGACUGGGCGUAAAGGGUGCGUAGGCGGGUCUUUAAGUCAGGGGUGAAAUCCUGGAGCUCAACUCCAGAACUGCCUUUGAUACUGGGGAUCUUGAGUACGGGAGAGGUGAGUGGAACUGCGAGUGUAGAGGUGAAAUUCGUAGAUAUUCGCAAGAACACCAGUGGCGAAGGCGGCUCACUGGCCCGUUACUGACGCUGAGGCACGAAAGCGUGGGGAGCAAACAGG
rnacentral:rRNA from 1 species